rnacentral:rRNA from 1 species
UACGAAGGUCCCAAGCGUUGUUCGGAUUUACUGGGCGUAAAGCGUCUGUAGGCGGCGCGGUAAGUCAGAUGUGAAAUCCCGGGGCUCAACCCCGGAACUGCAUCCGAUACUGCCGUGCUAGAGUAUUGGAGGGGAGUCUGGAAUUCUCGGUGUAGCAGUGAAAUGCGUAGAUAUCGAGAGGAACACUAGUGGCGAAGGCGAGACUCUGGACAAUAACUGACGCUGAGAGACGAAGGCCAGGGUAGCGAAA